rnacentral:misc_RNA from 1 species
AAAAAGGGAAUAGCUACGCGCUACUAUAAUUGCGGUAUCCAGUGGGAAUCACGCGCAUCUACCCUUCUCCAGUCCAUAGUCAAGAAAAUGUUUGACUUAUACCACGAUCAAUUUGCAGGAUUCUGGCAUGCAACCAAAUUGAAAAUUUUAAUCUGGAGACUACCAACAAUUUAAUCUAGUAGGUUUCCAGGCUUUGCCUACGUGGGUUAGCUAUUAUACCCAUUGUUAUUGGAUAGAACCACACCCCAAAAUGUAUUGAAGUGGGAGACAGCAAGGCCAUGCAAGUCCCAUAGUAAAAUUCCAUACUUUAUUUCAAUUCCAACUAGGAUACUAACACAAUUUGAACCUUUUUUAUUUGUAUGUUUCUUGCAUUUCCUUUAUGAUUCAUGGGUACUGUAAUUUAGAAAGCUACAAGCAUUUUAGAUGACCCAUAGGAUAUCCUCCUGUACUGAGUGUGGAAGCUUACUGAUGAAGACAGCUGAAAAAAAAUGUAUUAAAUUAACUCGUGAUACAGAAUAUGUGAGUGGAUGAUUUGGAAUAGAGCUAAGUACCUUGAUUUUGGUAGGCUGAAUUUCAUCAGUUAAUGUGCUUUUGCUUGUCUGCAUGAUAAUAACUUAUCUCCUAACAGAUCAUAACAUAAUAAUUGGGAGGCUGUACUUAUUUAAAUGGUCGAAAAAAGGUAGUUCUGUGUUUUCAAAAUGCCAGUUUCUCUAAUCUGUGUUAGCGAGUGUGAUGGAUAUCAUAUUACUUUAUUAGAUAAUUUCAUCUUUUUU